UUUAUUGAGUUUUUUUUCACUUUAAUUGACUUUAAAUACACUACCCGGUCACGAGAUUUUCUGGCAGAAAUAGUUCUGCUAGAAUCCUGCUAGAAUGAUUUUGGCAGGCAUGUAAGAAUUUUGUUAGAAAUUUACUAGAAUGUUCUAGCAGAGCGAAAUCUGUAAGAAUUCUGCUAAAAUUUUACGGGAAUGUUCUGACAAGACAUUUUUCGCCAUCCUGGUGGUGGCGAACAAAAGUUUCGCCAAAACCGCGUGUUUACCGGCGAUCUUUCUUUCUUUCUGAAAUCUGGGAGGAGAAAGGUGUUCUCGCGAUUCUGGGAUCUUCAAAGAUGGCUGAAAUCCAUGGAUUCACCGCAGAUCAUGCACAAAAACAAAAAUGCGGUAGUUUGCCUCGAUUAUGUCGCAAGCAUCGCAGGAGAAUGUCGGUCGAUUCCCUUGCCGAUGCAUGGCCACGCAAUCGGAACCGAUGGAAGCCAGUAGUGAACAUUCAAGGAAGACUCGUCGCAUCGCACUUAAGGAAAAUACCGGGAUUUGUACUGUGUACUUUGUGAAGUGAUAUGAGUGAUAACAAAAAACGAUGUUGAAUAAAUAUACAUUUACCAA